AACCUGCGGAAGGAUCAUUAA
rnacentral:rRNA from 5 species